AGGGUGACGAGGUGGUGGCAUGGUUGUCGUCAGCUCGUGUCGUGAGAUGUUGGGUUAAGUCCCGCAACGAGCGCAACCCUCGACCUUAGUUGCCAGCAUUCAGUUGGGCACUCUAAUGAGACUGCCGGUGACAAACCGGAGGAAGGUGGGGAUGACGUCAAGUCCUCAUGGCCCUUAUAGGUGGGGCUACACACGUCAUACAAUGGAUGGUACAAAGGGUCGCCAACCCGCGAGGGGGAGCCAAUCCCAUAAAGCCAUUCGUAGUCCGGAUCGCAGUCUGCAACUCGACUGCGUGAAGUCGGAAUCGCUAGUAAUCGCGGAUCAGCAUGCCGCGGUGAAUACGUUCCCGGGCCUU
rnacentral:rRNA from 1 species